rnacentral:rRNA from 1 species
GACGAACGCUGGCGGCGCGCCUAACACAUGCAAGUCGAACGAGCGAGAGAGAGCUUGCUUUCUCGAGCGAGUGGCGAACGGGUGAGUAACGCGUGAGGAACCUGCCUCAAAGAGGGGGACAACAGUUGGAAACGACUGCUAAUACCGCAUAAGCCCACGGUGCCGCAUGGCACAGAGGGAAAAGGAGCAAUCCGCUUUGAGAUGGCCUCGCGUCCGAUUAGCUGGUUGGUGAGGUAAUGGCCCACCAAGGCGACGAUCGGUAGCCGGACUGAGAGGUUGAACGGCCACAUUGGGACUGAGACACGGCCCAGACUCCUACGGGAGGCAGCAGUGGGGAAUAUUGCACAAUGGGGGAAACCCUGAUGCAGCGACGCCGCGUGGAGGAAGAAGGGUCUUCGGGAUUGUAAACUCCUGUUGUUGGGGAAGAUAAUGACGGUACCUGACGAGGAAGCCAACGGCUAACUACGUG